rnacentral:rRNA from 6 species
UCCGGUGCUUUAAGCGAUGGGGAAACACCCGACCCCAUACCGAACUCGGAAGUUAAGCCCAUUAGAGCCGAUGGUACUUGGAUCGGAAGGUCCUGGGAGAGUAGGCCAGUGCCGGGA